rnacentral:ribozyme from 1 species
UGCCCAGCAACUCCUAUCCCUACCUCCUCGUGGUACUGGCCGGGGUACGAGUAACCUUAGGGAAGAACGGGUAACCAACCCCGGUGGGAGCUUUGGUCGUAUGCUGACAGGGAAGG